UGUGUGGCUGGCUGAGAAGCAAAGUCUUUUUUUGGUGUGUGCCGAGGUGUCACUGCUAGCUCGCUAACAGGAUGUGGCAAGGCGAGAGAGUGCAAGCGAGGCGGUGGAUUGAAGCGGGGAUUUUCUCUCGCACGUCUUCUCGUAUUUCCGAUGUCGCCUUCAUGUUGUGCUCGGCUCAUUGCCAGCAUGAACAACAGAAAAAAAAAAAAAAAAAAAGCACCCGAGAGGCCCAAUUUCAAGAGAAGAGCCCUAACAAGAUAGAGAGCAUUAAGGAGAAGAAGCCCAGUGCUGGCUCAUUUUGGACACUUCUUUCGGUGUAAUUCGAGGCAAUACAAAACUCUCAUUAAAAGCUGAGUUUCCCCGUUUUAUGGGGAGACUCCAACUCGAGCACUGCCCAGCCCACGUGCACUGAUUCACACUACUCAGUCGAGUAUACGAGUUUUCAAUUUGCUUUAAGGCUUGAUUGGCAGAUUGUCCUGUGUUUUUUCGCCAAUUGCUUCUUGGGACUUUUUUGUGGGUCUCUAUGAUCGACCUGCCGACCAAAUUUCAUGUUGCCAAGCUGAACAGGCUUUGGGAGCUGAAUUUUCAAAUCAUUCAGGCAGGGGCUAGAAUGGGGAAAACCCUCAAAAGGGUGGCUUAUGGGGCCUAAAUCAGUACAUGUUGCUAUAUGAGGGAAACUCAAUUUGUUUUCCUUCCUCGGCCAUGAGUCCUAAUUUAGUCGCACAUUCUGGCCUCCCCCCCCAUUCAUGGCAGUGAGAACACGGUAACCUUUGGCAAGCCGCAAGCUGUCUGCUUGGGUGAAGAUAAGAGGACGCCAUAGUCAACAUGUGUGCCCUUUAAAAGGGAAAAAGAUGCAGAGAGCUAGCCAGAAUACAUAUCUUUUAUUUGUCAGCCAGAGAAAAUACUGUGAUACUGAAGAAGAGCAGCGAGAAACACCAAAAAUAAAUGUCUGUCGUAUUGUAACGCCAGUGGUUGACGGGGCGUGAAAGGCGGAACGUCAAACAAAACGACAACCAAAAAAAAAACAAAACAAAACGAGCAGCUUCACUGAUUAUCCGCCAACCACAGAUGUGCCACCAUUAGCUGUCAGGUGUGUGUGGCAGGAUCCUACUUUGCUCAUUUCUAUUUUUCUAAUGGAAAAAAGGCAGGUGGCGCUCUAUAUCCGAAGUCGGCUACCUUGAAGAAAAA